rnacentral:rRNA from 1 species
AUUGAACGCUGGCGGCAGGCCUAACACAUGCAAGUCGAACGGUAACAGGAAACAGCUUGCUGUUUCGCUGACGAGUGGCGGACGGGUGAGUAAUGUCUGGGAAACUGCCUGAUGGAGGGGGAUAACUACUGGAAACGGUAGCUAAUACCGCAUAACGUCGCAAGACCAAAGAGGGGGACCUUCGGGCCUCUUGCCAUCGGAUGUGCCCAGAUGGGAUUAGCUAGUAGGUGGGGUAACGGCUCACCUAGGCGACGAUCCCUAGCUGGUCUGAGAGGAUGACCAGCCGCACUGGAACUGAGACACGGUCCAGACUCCUACGGGAGGCAGCAGUGGGGAAUAUUGCACAAUGGGCGCAAGCCUGAUGCAGCCAUGCCGCGUGUAUGAAGAAGGCCUUCGGGUUGUAAAGUACUUUCAGCGGGGAUGAAGGGAGUAAAGUUAAUACCUUUGCUCAUUGACGUUACCCGCAGAAGAAGCACCGGCUAACUCCGU